AGUAGGGAGGGCGUCAGUCGUUCCCGCGGUAAACGGGAGUGAAUCGCGUCUCGAACUCGGAUUGAUCAUGUAGUUGGAAUCAAGACACGGUCUACGUGUUACACGCGGGUCACGUCGCGUCGCGUCUUACAUCUCCUUUUUCUUUUUUUUCUCUCUUUCUCUCUCUCUCUCAUUCAUUCUCUUUCUCUCUCUCUCUCUCUCUCACUCAUUAUAUAUAUAUAUAUCUAUCUUUUCGUCUCUGUCUCUCUGUCUCCGUUGGUACGAUCGCGAAUGCGACGAAUGACGUCGGAGAGGUAUCGAAGGAGGAGGAGAUGGGCGAGGCUCGUUCACGUAUUCGGCUCGAUCGAAGGAAACUCGAGGAGAGCUUGCGGCCGUUUCUUAGUGCGAGCCUCGUUCGGUCCUCCGUUUUGACCAUGGAAGAGUCAGGUGGGGAGAAUACGACAGAGUCUGAACUCGAUGAACGAAUGGGGAAGGGACGUAAGAGAACCGUUGAUGUCGGUAAGAAGGGAAACCGAACAACCACCACCACCAUCACCACCACUACCAUCAUCGUGACCACCUCCACCAUCACCUCCACCACCACCACCACCACCACCACCACCACCAACACCACCACCACCACCUCUCUUCGCGACGACUCGAACGAGAAUGAGUCGUUCAAACAACUGGAGUUCUCUUUAACGGAAUCCCUUUCUUCGGGGACUAUACGUUCUCUCAAUGCGGAGGGAGAAAGCCCUCGUUCUUCUAGAUUCUACGACGUUACAUCCUCAAACUUAAACGAGGAAAUGCUUCCGGGUGCGAGGAAAGAUUUCACUUCAAUAACCAAUGACAUUAAUUGCGAGCCAAAGAGAUACGUCGAUUGCACGGUGUUAGGUGGUGGUAGCAAUGGUGGAGACGCUGAAGAUUCUUCAUAUGACAGUGAUUACGAAGCUGAAGAUUCAACGAGCGUUCAUCCGCCAUUGGAAUCACGGCUCUCGUCUUCCACGCAUUCGGACGUGUCCCGUACUGCUUCGGAUACCUUGGCAGCGGAAUUUGCUGAGUAUGUUACCGUUCAGGGACAGACCCCAACGCAAAGUCCAGGAUAUACGGCCAGAGUUGAAUUCGCAUUGAAGCUUGGAUAUACCGAACGUUUGGUACAAGCAGCUCUUCAAAAAUUAGGACCGGAUCCUGGUCAAAAUGAGUUAUUGGCCGAAUUGAUAAAGCUAGGUGCAAGUUGUUCGCCAAAAUUAAGCGAAAGCCCGGAAGAAUGCGAUACUAUUUUAGAUGGCGAGACCAGUACAGAAGAACUUGGUAGAUCGAAUCUAACGACAACGACUGUUACAUGUUUGAGGCCUGUUGUAAUCGACGGUAGUAACGUCGCUAUGAGCCAUGGAAAUAAAGAAGUAUUUUCAUGUCGUGGUAUUAAGAUCUGCGUUGAUUGGUUCAAAGCUAGAGGACAUCGAGAGAUCACUGUUUUUGUACCAAAGUGGCGUAAGGAAGCAUCUAGGCCUGAUAAUCCAAUAGCCGAUCAAGAAAUUCUAGGUGAACUCGAGAGAGAUCGAUUACUCGUUUUCACUCCAUCCAGACUAGUCGGAGGUAAACGUAUGGUCUGUUACGACGAUCGUUAUAUUCUGAGGUUGGCCGCUGAAGUCGAUGGUAUCGUUGUUAGUAACGAUAAUUAUAGAGAUUUGGCACAAGAAAAUCCAGAAUUUCGAAGAGUCGUCGAAGAGAGAAUUUUGAUGUACAGUUUUGUAAACGAUCGAUUUAUGCCACCUGAUGAUCCGCUUGGUAGAAGUGGACCUACUUUAGAAAAUUUCUUAAGAAUUGGGCCGAAAAAAACUGAUCCAGCACCGCCAUGUCCAUAUGCGAAGAAAUGUACGUAUGGAAAUAAAUGCAAAUUUCGUCAUCCAGAAAGAGGUCCGCAUCCUCAUAAAUCAGUAACAGAACGUUUGGUGGAACAUGCCCAACGACAUCUUCAAGCUAGAGGUCCGAGUUUAAGUUUACCCUUAAAUUCUACAACAGCGGCGACUACUACGAAUGUUACCGUGCAGCAACAUCAACCCCUUUGUAAAGCAAGAUCAGCUGCUAUAUCAUCUAAUGUUUCUCAAUCGUUAGCAUCCGUCCCUAAAAGUAGAUCCGUUGAAAAUGUCACUACGGAUUUGUCAACGACUAGUCCAAUCGUAUACGCACAACAGAUUUCUGCUGUACAAAAUAUGCAAGGAUACGUAUCUCCUCCAGGUAAUUGGCCAACACCUAGAGUUAAUAGCUCGGAUACAGAGCCAGUGAAUAUGCAUAGAAAAUUACAACGGCAAUUAACCUUAAAUCCGGCAUGCGAUCCACGUAUUUAUCAAUUGAGAAGAUAUCAACAGCAUACAGCGCAAUCUUCGACGCAACAGCAACAACAACAACAGCAACAACAACAACAACAACAACAGCAAAAACAACAGCAACAGCAGCAUUCACAGCAAUCUAUAAUUGGUGGUCAUCCAACGAUCCAACAGCAUAGGCCACUUACAAGACAUGCUAGUAAUGAGUCUCCUUAUUCAGUACCUAUAAGUUGGGAUCAUCCUGAAGGACUUCAUCAACAUGUAACACGUAUUGCUUCGGCACCAGAUUCUUACCGAGCUUGGCCUCCUCGUAGUACGAAUCUAAUUGCACCUUCACGAGUAUCUAGAUUAGGCACAUCCGAUCCACAAUUAAAUUUGUUGCCAUCACCGUCAUCAGCCGCAACAAAUUUACACGGAGCUACUUGGAAUACACAAACCCAAGAUGCACGACGUCGUUUGCAUUAUCAUCUUGCUAAUAUCUUCCCCGAGGAACAGGUACAAGCAGCGAUGGCAAUGAAUCCUCAUGAAACUGAUCCCCAACAAAUAUGUGCCACGAUUUUAGCAAUGUUUCCCAAAAAUUAGUAUGAGCUAAAACUUCGCCAAUUCUCCGACUAAACCAAACAGGUAUGGUAAUAUAUAUAUACAUAUAUAUAUAUAUCAUUUUGUACAGUAAAUGGAUGUGAUUGAUUUCACUAUAAGUAAAACUUCGAUGUAAACACAGAAUUAGUCUGUAAAGGACAUUUCUUCUUGAUUCAUCGGAUCAUAUGUAGAUCAUAAAGUGGGAUAAUACUUUUAGAAGAAAGUUUUUAUAAUAGGAUGAAAGAUCAUAAUGAUCAAAUCAUAAAAGUGAUUUUACAUUUAUUAGUAAACGCGCAUUAAAUAUAAAAGAGUAUAAAACAAAAAAGAAAAGGAUCAUAUGGAAAGCUUUUUAAAAUAAUUACACAUCAUUUUGGACAUGCUCUCCAUGAGAGUAGAGAAAUGGGAACAUAAGGAUUUUUAUAGAAGUUUUUCAUACGUUUGAUUUUUUUAUUUUAAUGUAUCAGCGAAUUGUCAUUUUUCUCUUCUUCCUAAGUAAACAGACAAUACAUUAAAAAUCGAUUUAUUUAUCUAUAGCGUUAAAAGUUAUAUAAACAUUCAUUUAUAUGUUAUAGAUCGAUAUACAUAUAUGCACAGUGUUGUUAUGUUUGAGAUCUAUUCCCAAAUCUCUCCGCUCAGUUAAAAAUAUUUUUAUGCAUGAAAGAUUGAAAUCAUUUAUCAAUGGGUUUAUUUCAAUUAUACAUAUUCGCAAUUAAGCGUUAUGUUAUACAUUGAGAUAAUAUAUGUAUAUUCCUUGUGUACAUCCGUUCGCAAUAAGAUUUACAUUUUCUUCCAGCUAUUCAAUAUUGACUAGUGUUUUUUGGGGUAGAGAAUGUAUCUUAACAUUAAAUAAUUUUAAUUAACAAAAGUUAAAACGUGAUAAGAUUCUGUUAUAAAAUCUAUCUAUUUGUCAUUAUAUUAAGAAGAGCAAGACAUUUUAUGAUAUAAAGAAAGAUAUCUUUUCUAUGAUUAUUUAAUGAAAAAGUAAGAUGUUAAUAUAUGUGUAGCAUAUAUAAAUACACGAGAUGAAGUGUCUAUCUAUGUUAGCCAAAAUCUUUUCUCAGAAAUUAAAAGAAAAGUAUAGGUAUGUAGUAAAAAUGGAUGCUUCACAGUGUAUAUAUAUGUGUGUAUGUGUAUGGAAUAAAAUAUCGCAAUACCAUGUAUUGUUUAAUACAUAAUUACAAGAGUUUCUGAUCUUGUACGUUAUCUAACAAAGAAUUCUUAGAGCAUCAGUUGCAUAGGAAAGAAAUUAAAAUGAUAUCUUUAUAAAGUUUGCAACACAAAAUAUAUUGACUACGAUUGAGAAUCAUGUCAAUCGAGCAAAAAAAAAAUUAAUGUUUAAUGUAUGUAAAAUAUGUUGCUAUUAUUAUUAUGAUUAUUAUCAUUAUUACUAUGUUAAUAUUAUCAAAAAUAUAUGUGUAUAUACAUAUAUGUAUAUGUGUAUGUAUGUAUGUAUAUAUAUAUAUAUAUACACACACAUUACUCCUUUCAUUGCUGUGAUAUUGAAUUCUAUGCAUAUAGAUAAUCAGACAUGUUUAUAGUACAUACAGGAAAAUAUACAGACUGACCACUUAUAAACAA